ACUGAAAACUGACUCUUUUAAGGGUUCAAGCUUCUUAUGCCUUGCUUGCUUGAAAUUGGUCUGCUGAUGAACACUAUUUAUAGCAGUUGUGAUGGUCUUGGCAUGGAGCCGAGCUGAUAUUAGUUGAAUCGCGCCCAACAGAGUUUGUUAUAACCGACUCGAGUCGAGUAACGUCAUUGGUUGGGAGCUAUAUCGUUUAUUGUUCAUUGCUUCUAUUGGUCAUUGGUCGCCGAGCGAAACCUAUUCUGUUAUUCGUUUAAAGAAAAUUAAAUUUAUAAUAAAUCGAUUGAUUAAAAAAAAACAAGAAUAAAUAAUUCAAAUUGAGUAUGAUUCUAAGGUAUUGAAUUAGAUGAAUCAUAGUUUUAAAUUCGAAAUUA